CAUCUGGUUUCCAUUCCCAUGUUUUGAGCCAAAUGGCGUUCUUGCAAACCUUACCAGUCACCUCUUGACUGCUAAACACAACCAUCUGUACUAGGUCCUUGUUAUAUGGGUUGAGUCGUGUGCUCCAAAAAGAAAUGUUGAAGUUCUAACCCGUAGUACCUCAGAAUGUGACCUUAUUUGCAGAUGUAGUUAGUUAAGAUGAGGUCAUACUUGAGUAUGGUGGGCCCUUAAUCCAGUAUGACUGAUGUCCUUAUAAGAGAACAUGUAAAGACGUGGAAACACAUGGGGAGAAGACUCGUGUGAAGGGAUUGGAGUUCUGCUGGCUGUUACAGCCAAGGAACACCUGGAAUCACCAGAAGCCAGGAAGAGGCAAUGGAAUCUCCUUUCCUAGAGGUUUUGGAGGGAAUGUGGUCCUGCCAACACCUUGAUAUUGGACUUCCAGCUUGCAGAACUCUGAGAGAAUAAAUUUCUGUUGCUUUAA
rnacentral:lncRNA from 10 species